rnacentral:rRNA from 1 species
AUUGAACGCUGGCGGCAUGCUUUACACAUGCAAGUCGAACGGUAACAGGGUGCUUGCACCGCUGACGAGUGGCGAACGGGUGAGUAAUGCGUCGGAACGUGCCGAGCAGUGGGGGAUAACGCAGCGAAAGUUGUGCUAAUACCGAAUACGUACUGGGGUAGAAAGUGGGGGACCUUCGCGCCUCACGCUAUUCGAGCGGCCGACGUCUGAUUAGCUAGUAGGUGAGGUAAAGGCUCAGCUAGGCGACGAUCAGUAGCGGGGCUGAGAGGAUGAUCCGCCACACUGGGACUGGGACACGGCCCAGACUCCUACGGGAGGCAGCAGUGGGAAUUUUGGACAAUGGGCGAAAGCCUGAUCCAGCCAUGCCGCGUGUCUGAAGAAGGCCUUCGGGUUGUAAAGGACUUUUGUCAGGGAGGAAAUCCCUAGUGCUAAUAACACUGGGGGAUGACAGUACCUGAAGAAUAAGCACCGGCUAACUACGUGCCAGCAGCCGCGGUAAAAC